UUGCCAGACUCCUACGGGAGGCAGCAGUGGGGGAUAUUGCACAAUGGGGGGAACCCUGAUGCAGCGACGCCGCGUGGGUGAAGGAGCGUUUCGGCGCGUAAAGCCCUAUCGGCAGGGAAGAAGGAGGACGGUACCUGACUAAGAAGCUCCGGCUAACUACGUGCCAGCAGCCGCGGUAAUACGUAGGGAGCGAGCGUUAUCCGGAUUUACUGGGUGUAAAGGGCGUGUAGGCGGGAUGGCAAGUCAGGCGUGAAAACUAUGGGCUCAACCCAUAGCCUGCGUUUGAAACUGUCGUUCUUGAGUGAUGGAGAGGCAAGCGGAAUUCCGUGUGUAGCGGUGAAAUGCGUAGAUAUACGGAGGAACACCAGUGGCGAAGGCGGCUUGCUGGACAUUAACUGACGCUGAGGCGCGAAAGCGUGGGGAGCAAACAGGAUUAGAUACCCCGGUACUG
rnacentral:rRNA from 1 species